rnacentral:lncRNA from 1 species
UCAACACUCGAGAGGGUGGGAGAAGAAAUUAGAAAGGAGAGAGAUGAGAAUUCAGCCAAAAUGUCACAAGGUCAGCUAAAAAAAUAAUCUAUUGUUGGAUAAUUAUGUUAGUAAAAAUUUCUCCAACGAAUCGGAAAAGACAAAUCGACUAUAGCGAUAGUUCAUCCGUCGCUAAAUCACAUAAAAAUCGAUUUUCUAAUCUAUGGUGACGGUUAUAGCUGUGGCGUCGACUUUCUAUGCUAUAGCGACGGAU